GACGAACGCUGGCGGCGUGCCUAAUACAUGCAAGUCGAGCGGACCAAAGGGAGCUUGCUCCUGGAGGUUAGCGGCGAACGGGUGAGCAACACGUGGGCAACCUGCCUGUAAGACUGGGAUAACAUCGAGAAAUCGGUGCUAAUACCGGAUAAUAAAAGAACUGCAUGGUUCUUUUUUGAAAGAUGGUUUCGGCUAUCACUUACAGAUGGGCCCGCGGCGCAUUAGCUAGUUGUGGGGUAACGGCUCACCAAGGCGACGAUGCGUAGCCGACCUGAGAGGGUGAUCGGCCACACUGGGACUGAGACACGGCCCAGACUCCUACGGGAGGCAGCAGUAGGGAAUCUUCCGCAAUGGACGAAAGUCUGACGGAGCAACGCCGCGUGAGUGAUGAAGGUUUUCGGAUCGUAAAACUCUGUUGUUAGGGAAGAACAAGUGCCGUUCGAAAGGGCGGCACCUUGACGGUACCUAACGAGAAAGCCACGGCUAACUACGUGCCAGCAGCCGCGGUAAAGUA
rnacentral:rRNA from 1 species